rnacentral:rRNA from 1 species
AGAGUUUGAUCCUGGCUCAGAUUGAACGCUGGCGGCAUGCCUUACACAUGCAAGUCGAACGGCAGCACGGGAGCAAUCCUAGUGGCGAGUGGCGAACGGGUGAGUAAUAUAUCGGAACGUGCCCAACAAUGGGGGAUAGCCCGGCGAAAGCCGGAUUAAUACCGCAUACGACCUACGGGUGAAAGCGGGGGAUCGCAAGACCUCGCGUUGAUGGAGCGGCCGAUAUCAGAUUAGCUUGUUGGUGGGGUAAAAGCCUACCAAGGCGACGAUCUGUAGCUGGUCUGAGAGGACGACCAGCCACACUGGGACUGAGACACGGCCCAGACUCCUACGGGAGGCAGCAGUGGGGAAUUUUGGACAAUGGGCGCAAGCCUGAUCCAGCCAUGCCGCGUGCGGGAAGAAGGCCUUCGGGUUGUAAACCGCUUUUGUCAGGGNAAGAAACGGUCUAAUCUAAUAUAUUGGACUAAUGACGGUACCUGAAGAAUAAGCACCGGCUAACUACGUGCCAGCAGCCGCGGUAAUACGUAGGGUGCAAGCGUUGAUCGGAAUUACUGGGCGUAAAGCGUGCGCAGGCGGCUUUGCAAGACAGAUGUGAAAUCCCCGGGCUCGACCUGGGAACUGCAUUUGUGACUGCAUANCUAGAGUGCGGCAGAGGGGGAUGGAAUUCCGCGUGUAGCAGUGAAAUGCGUAGAUAUGCGGAGGAACACCGAUGGCG